GAUUGUAACGAAGAAAUGACGAUUAAAAGAAGUUCAGUGGCAUAACCGUAAAUAAUUCGAAGUUCAGUUUUUUUUAAAACCCAGAUUUUCUGCAAUUUGGCAGCUGGACCAGCUGAAUUCCAAAGGUGAUAUCUCUCAACUCCGGCCACCAAUCGAAGAAAGACCAGUCUCGUUAGAACCACCAUGCUUCCCUCUUCUAGUCCCAGCCCAUCUCAGCCUUGAUCCAUCGUU
rnacentral:lncRNA from 1 species